CCAAAAUGCUGGGAUUAUAGGCAUGAACCACUGUACCUGACCUUAUGCUUUGGAAUUUAAUGUUACAUAUGUCUAUUUUUAAUCCUUUCAAAAAUAUAUGUUACUGACUUGUUCUGUGAUCUUUUUUCUGGGUCUAUAAUUGCAUUUAUUUUAAUUUCUAAGGGAGGGAUAAAUAUUAUCUCUUUUUUUGGUGUUGUGAUGAUUCUUGAAGAGAUAAAAUGUUCUUAAAAUAUUUGGUUGUUUUUGAAAUGAAUGUACUAUAAGAAUAAGAUUAUUUGUGUUGUGUGUGUGUGUGUAUAUAUAUGUAUAUAUGUUUUCAUUUUAUUCUUCUGAAUAUACCUUAGUUUGAAGCCUUGAAGUUUUUUGUCCACUUGAAAAGUAUGUCUGUUGUUCUAAGAGAAAAUCAUCAAAAAGCUGAGCUGAUAGAUAUUGUAAUAGAAGAAUUUAGCACCUUAAUUGUGCAAAGACCAGGAGCGCAAGCAGUAAAAUUUGAAACUAAAAUAGAUUCAUUUCAUAUUACUGGCUUACCAGAUAAUUCAGAAAAACCCCGCCUCCUGUCUUCAUUGGAUGAUGCAAUGUCACUCUUCCAAAUUACAUUUGAGAUAAAUCCAUUAGAUGAAACUGUUACUCAGAGGUGUAUCAUAGAAGCUGAACCUUUAGAAAUCAUAUAUGAUGCAAGGACAGUGAAUAGUAUAGUGGAAUUCUUCAGACCUCCAAAAGAGGUACAUCUAGCACAGCUCACUUCAGCAACAUUGACAAAACUGGAAGAAUUUCGCAAUAAGACAGCAACAGGACUACUGUAUAUUAUUGAAACACAGAAAGUUCUUGAUCUCAGAAUUAAUUUGAAGGCUUCAUAUAUUAUUGUCCCACAAGAUGGAAUUUUUAGUCCUACAUCAAAUCUGCUUCUUUUGGACCUUGGUCAUCUUAAGGUGACAAGUAAAAGUCGUUCUGAAUUACCAGAUGUGAAACAAGGUGAGGCCAAUCUUAAAGAGAUAAUGGAUAUAGCUUAUGAUUCCUUUGAUAUUCAACUUACAAGCAUACAGCUGCUUUACAGUAGAGUUGGUGAUAAUUGGAGAGAAGCACGAAAACUCAAUGUAUCUACCCAGCAUAUUUUGGUACCCAUGCACUUCAAUUUGGAACUGUCUAAGGCCAUGGUUUUCAUGGAUGUAAGGAUGCCCAAAUUCAAGAUUUUUGGGAAGUUACCUCUUAUUUCUUUACGAAUCUCAGAUAAAAAACUACAAGGAAUUAUGGAAUUGGUUGAAAGCAUUCCAAAACCUGAACCAGUAACUGAAGUAUCUGCCCCUGUCAAAUCAUUCCAGAUUCAAACAUCUACUUCUUUGGGAACAUCACAGAUUUCACAGAAAAUAAUUCCUCUCUUGGAACUUCCGUCUGUUUCUGAAGAUGAUUCAGAGGAGGAAUUUUUUGAUGCACCAUGUAGUCCCUUGGAAGAACCUCUUCAGUUCCCAACUGGAGUUAAAAGUAUUCGAACCAGAAAGUUACAAAAGCAGGAUUGUUCAGUGAAUAUGACUACGUUUAAAAUACGAUUUGAAGUACCAAAGGUUUUGAUCGAGUUUUAUCACCUUGUUGGAGAUUGUGAACUAUCUGUGGUAGAAAUUCAUGUUUUAGGAUUGGGCACAGAAAUUGAGAUUAGAACAUACGAUUUGAAAGCAAGUGCCUUUUUGAAAGAGUUCUGCUUAAAAUGCCCAGAAUACUUGGAUGAAAACAGGAAACCAGUUUAUUUGGUUACAACCCUGGAUAACACAAUGGAAGACCUGUUAACGCUGGAAUAUGUAAAGGCUGAAAAGAAUGUACCCAACUUGAAAAGUACCUAUAACAAUGUUUUACAAUUGAUUAAGGUAAAUUUUUCCUCUUUGGAUAUUCAUUUACACACUGAAGCACUUCUGAAUACAAUAAAUUAUCUUCAUAAUAUCCUUCCGCAAUCAGAGGAAAAAUCAGCCCCAGUGUCCACUACAGAGACUGAAGACAAAGGAGAUGUCAUUAAAAAAUUAGCUUUGAAACUAUCCACGAAUGAAGAUAUCAUUACUUUGCAGAUUUUAGCAGAAUUAUCAUGUUUACAGAUCUUUAUUCAAGAUCAGAAACGUAACAUUUCUGAAAUUAAGAUUGAAGGGCUUGAUUCUGAGAUGAUUAUGAGGCCUUCAGAAACUGAAAUAAAUGCAAAGCUAAGGAAUAUAAUUGUUUUAGAUUCUGAUAUAACAGCUGUAUACAAAAAGGCUGUUUAUAUCACUGGAAAAGAAGUUUUCAGCUUCAAAAUGGUUUCUUACAUGGAUGCAACUGCUGGUUCUGCAUACACAGAUAUGAAUGUGGUUGACAUUCAGGUUAAUUUAGUAGUUGGUUGCAUUGAAGUAGUUUUUGUCACAAAAUUUCUAUGUUCUAUAUUGGCUUUUAUAGAUAAUUUUCAGGCAGCUAAACAAGCCUUGGCUGAGGCAACUGUUCAGGCAGCUGGAAUGGCUGCUACUGGUGUAAAAGAACUGGCACGAAGGAGUUCCAGAAUGGCACUGGAUAUUAACAUCAAAGCCCCAGUUGUGGUCAUCCCGCAGUCUCCAGUUUCUGAAAAUGUUUUUGUUGCUGAUUUUGGGCUAAUUACAAUGACAAAUACCUUUCAUAUGAUAACAGAGAGCCAGAGCUCUCCCCCACCUGUUAUUGAUUUGAUAACAAUAAAGCUGAGUGAAAUGCGACUAUACAGGUCUCAAUUUAUUAAUGAUGCAUACCAGGAAGUACUGGAUCUACUACUGCCGUUAAAUCUGGAGGUGGUGGUUGAACGAAAUUUAUGCUGGGAGUGGUACCAGGAAGUUCCUUGUUUUAAUGUAAAUGCUCAGCUGAAACCAAUGGAGUUCAUUCUUAGUCAAGAAGAUAUAACAACUAUUUUUAAAACAUUGCAUGGCAAUAUAUGGUAUGAAAAAGAUGGUAGUGCCUCACCUGCUGUAACAAAAGACCAAUAUGGUGCCACUAGUGGAGUUACUACUAAUGCUUCACACCAUUCAGGAGGAGCAACUGUGGUGACAGCUGCCGUGGUAGAAGUACAUUCACGUGCCUCCCUAGUUAAGACAACACUAAACGUGAGCUUCAAAACUGAUUAUCUCACCAUGGUGCUGUAUAGUCCAGGUCCUAAACAAGCUUCCUUUACAGAUGUUCGGGAUCCUUCUCUGAAACUUGCUGAAUUUAAAUUGGAGAAUAUAAUAAGUACUUUAAAAAUGUAUACAGAUGACUCAACAUUUUCUUCCUUCUCAUUAAAAAACUGUAUUUUAGAUGAUAAAAGGCCUCAUGUCAAGAAAGCAACUCCUCGAAUGAUAGGACUGACUGUUGGUUUUGACAAAAAAGAUAUGAUGGAUAUAAAGUACAGGAAAGUCAGAGAUGGCUGUGUGACUGAUGCAGUCUUUCAAGAAAUGUAUAUUUGUGCAAGUGUAGAAUUUCUGCAGACUGUUGCAAAUGUCUUUCUUGAGGCCUACACCACAGGCACUGCUGUAGAAACCAGUGUGCAAACAUGGACUGCUAAGGAAGAAGUACCUACACAGGAAUUAGAGAAGUGGGAAAUUAAUGUUAUUAUUAAAAAUCCUGAAAUUGUGUUCGUGGCUGACAUGACAAAAAAUGAUGCUCCUGCCUUAGUCAUUACAACACAAUGUGAAAUUUGCUAUAAAGGUAACCUUGAAAAUAGCACAAUGACUGCUGCUAUUAAAGAUCUCCAAGUGAGAGCCUGCCCGUUUCUUCCAAUCAAGAGAAAAGGCAGAGUCACUACUGUUUUGCAGCCCUGUGACUUGUUUUAUCAAACUACUCAGGCAGGUACAGAUCCACAAGUGAUCGAUAUGUCAGUAAAAUCCCUGACACUAAAGGUUUCACCAGUUAUUAUAAAUACUAUGAUUACCAUAACUUCAGCACUGUAUACAACUAAGGAAACCAUCCCAGAAGAAACAGCUUCUUCUACUGCACAUUUAUGGGAAAAGAAGGAUACAAAGACUUUAAAAAUGUGGUUUCUUGAAGAAUCAAAUGAAACUGAAAAAAUAGCUCCCACAACUGAAUUGGUACCCAAAGGCGAGAUGAUAAAAAUGAACAUUGAUUCUAUUUUUAUAGUUCUUGAGGCUGGAAUUGGUCAUAGAACAGUGCCUAUGCUUCUGGCAAAGUCACGUUUUUCAGGGGAAGGCAAAAACUGGAGUUCCCUAAUAAAUCUGCACUGUCAGCUUGAGCUAGAAGUGCAUUAUUAUAAUGAAAUGUUUGGUGUGUGGGAGCCUUUGCUUGAACCCUUAGAAAUUGAUCAGACUGAGGAUUUUAGACCGUGGAAUCUUGGUAUCAAGAUGAAAAAGAAAGCCAAAAAGGCCAUUGUUGAGUCAGAUCCUGAAGAAGAAAACUACAAAGUGCCAGAAUAUAAAACUGUCAUUAGUUUCCAUUCAAAAGACCAAUUAAACAUCACAUUAUCCAAAUGUGGUCUUGUAAUGUUAAAUAACUUAGUCAAGGCAUUUACAGAAGCUGCCACUGGAUCUUCAGCUGACUUCGUAAAGGAUCUAGCACCAUUUAUAAUUUUAAAUUCCCUUGGACUUACUAUCUCUGUUUCGCCAAGUGAUUCUUUUAGUGUACUCAACGUUCCUAUGGCAAAAUCAUAUGUAUUGAAAAAUGAAGAAAGUUUAAGUAUGGAUUAUGUCCGAACCAAGGACAAUGAUCAUUUCAAUGCAAUGACCAGCCUAAGCAGCAAACUCUUCUUCAUUCUUCUUACACCUGUUAACCAUUCUACUGCUGAUAAGAUUCCUUUAACAAAAGUGGGACGACGUCUGUACACUGUAAGACACAGAGAGUCUGGAGUUGAAAGAUCUAUUGUUUGUCAAAUUGAUACAGUGGAAGGAAGUAAGAAGGUCACAAUUCGCUCCCCAGUGCAGAUAAGAAAUCAUUUUUCAGUCCCACUGUCUGUUUACGAAGGGGAUACCUUAUUGGGAACUGCCUCACCUGAAAAUGAAUUCAACAUACCAUUAGGAUCUUACCGAUCAUUCCUUUUUCUGAAGCCAGAAGAUGAGGACUAUCAAAUGUGUGAAGGAAUUGACUUUGAAGAGAUUGUGAAAAAUGAUGGUGCUCUUCUAAAGAAGAAAUGUAGAUCUCAAAACCCUUCCAAGAAAUCAUUUCUCAUUAAUAUUGUUCCAGAAAAAGAUAAUUUAACGUCUCUAUCAGUGUAUUCAGAAGAUGGUUGGGAUUUACCAUACAUAAUGCAUUUGUGGCCACCUAUCCUGCUCCGAAAUCUUCUUCCUUACAAAAUUGCUUAUUAUAUAGAGGGAAUUGAAAAUUCAGUUUUUACUCUAAGUGAAGGACAUUCAGCCCAGAUUUGUACUGUACAGUUGGAUAAAGCCAGGCUACGUUUAAAAUUACUUGACUAUCUCAAUCACGAUUGGAAAAGUGAAUAUCACAUAAAGCCUAAUCAGCAAGACAUUAGUUUUGUCAAUUUUACCUGUAUUACAGAAAUGGAAAAGACUGAUUUAGAUAUUGCUGUCCAUAUGACUUAUAAUACUGGUCAGACAGUUGUGGCAUUUCAUAGUCCUUAUUGGAUGGUCAACAAAACUGGUCGCAUGUUACAGUACAAAGCAGACGGAAUUCAUCGAAAGCAUCCACCUAAUUAUAAAAAGCCAGUUCUCUUUUCUUUUCAGCCAAAUCACUUUUUUAAUAACAAUAAGGUUCAACUUAUGGUAACUGAUAGUGAAUUAUCCGAUCAAUUUUCAAUUGAUACUGUUGGUAGUCAUGGAGCUGUUAAAUGUAAAGGCCUGAAAAUGGACUAUCAAGUUGGUGUCACUAUAGACCUGAGCAGUUUUAACAUUACUAGAAUUGUGACAUUUACCCCUUUUUAUAUGAUUAAAAACAAAAGCAAAUACCGUAUAUCAGUGGCUGAAGAAGGAACUGAUAAAUGGCUCUCUCUUGAUUUGGAGCAGUGUAUCCCCUUUUGGCCUGAGGAUGCUUCUAGUAAACUUCUUAUUCAAGUUGAAGGGAGUGAAGAUCCUCCCAAAAGGAUAUAUUUUAACAAGCAAGAAAAUUGUAUUCUAUUGCGUCUGGAUAACGAGCUUGGAGGUAUUAUAGCAGAAGUGAAUUUGGCUGAGCAUUCUACAGUUAUUACAUUUUUAGAUUAUCAUGAUGGAGCAGCUACAUUCCUCUUAAUAAAUCACACAAAGAAUGAACUUGUUCAAUACAAUCAAAGUUCUCUCAGUGAAAUAGAAGAUUCCCUCCCUCCUGGAAAAGCAGUGUUUUAUACAUGGGCUGAUCCAGUGGGCUCUAGAAGGCUGAAGUGGAGAUGUAGAAAAAGCCAUGGUGAAGUAACACAAAAGGAUGAUAUGAUGAUGCCUAUAGAUUUGGGGAAAAAGACUAUUUAUUUAGUUUCAUUCUUUGAAGGUUUACAACGCAUUAUUUUAUUCACUGAAGAUCCAAAGGUAUUUAAAGUAACAUAUGAAAGUGAGAAAGCAGAGUUAGCAGAGCAAGAAAUUGCAGUGGCAUUACAAGAUGUUGGAAUUUCUCUUGUCAACAAUUACACGAAGCAAGAAGUAGCCUAUAUAGGCAUCACAAGUUCUGAUGUGGUUUGGGAGACAAAGCCCAAGAAGAAGGCAAGAUGGAAGCCAAUGAGUGUAAAGCACACUGAGAAGUUAGAGAGAGAAUUUAAGGAAUAUACUGAAUCUUCACCUUCAGAAGAUAAGGUUAUUGAGUUGGACACUAACAUUCCGGUUCGCUUAACACCUACUGGUCAUAACAUGAAAAUUCUGCAGCCGCGUGUAAUAGCUCUACGAAGAAAUUAUCUUCCAGCAUUAAAAGUGGAAUAUAACACAUCUGCACAUCAAUCAUCAUUUAGAAUUCAAAUCUACAGAAUACAGAUCCAAAAUCAGAUACAUGGUGCUGUGUUUCCCUUUGUGUUUUAUCCUGUUAAACCUCCAAAGUCCGUCACCAUGGAUUCAGCACCAAAGCCCUUUACAGAUGUCAGUAUUGUCAUGAGAUCUGCAGGACAUUCCCAGAUAUCACGUAUUAAGUAUUUCAAAGUAUUGAUUCAAGAAAUGGAUCUCAGGUUAGAUCUUGGGUUUAUCUAUGCUUUAACAGACCUUAUGACAGAAGCUGAGGUAACUGAAAAUACAGAGGUUGAGCUUUUUCAUAAAGAUAUAGAAGCUUUCAAAGAAGAAUAUAAAACAGCCUCAUUAGUAGAUCAAUCACAAGUCAGCCUCUAUGAAUAUUUUCAUAUAUCUCCUCUUAAGUUACAUUUAAGUGUUUCACUGAGUUCGGGCGGAGAAGAAGCUAAAGAUUCAAAACAAAAUGGAGGACUGACUCCAGUUCAUUCUUUAAAUCUUUUGCUGAAGAGUAUUGGUGCCACACUGACAGAUGUACAAGAUGUAGUUUUUAAGCUUGCAUUUUUUGAACUCAACUAUCAGUUCCAUACAACAUCCGACCUACAGUCUGAGGUCAUAAGACACUAUUCAAAACAGGCCAUUAAGCAGAUGUAUGUACUCAUUCUUGGACUUGAUGUUUUGGGAAAUCCAUUUGGCUUAAUUAGAGAAUUUUCUGAAGGUGUAGAAGCAUUCUUUUAUGAACCUUACCAGGGAGCCAUCCAGGGUCCUGAAGAGUUUGUGGAGGGAAUGGCACUAGGACUUAAGGCACUAGUUGGUGGAGCUGUUGGUGGAUUAGCGGGUGCUGCCUCCAAAAUCACUGGUGCUAUGGCUAAAGGGGUAGCAGCUAUGACCAUGGAUGAAGACUACCAACAGAAGAGAAGAGAAGCCAUGAAUAAGCAACCAGCUGGUUUUAGAGAAGGCAUCACUCGUGGAGGAAAAGGCUUAGUUUCUGGAUUUGUUAGUGGCAUAACAGGAAUUGUUACAAAACCAAUCAAAGGAGCUCAAAAAGAAGGAGCAGCUGGUUUCUUUAAAGGUGUUGGGAAAGGUUUAGUGGGAGCGGUAGCAAGGCCAACUGGAGGCAUCAUAGACAUGGCUAGCAGUACAUUUCAGGGAAUAAAAAGAGCUACAGAGACUUCUGAAGUGGAGAGUCUGCGACCUCCUCGGUUCUUCAAUGAAGAUGGAGUUAUCAGACCGUACAGGUUGAGGGAUGGUACUGGAAAUCAGAUGUUACAGGAGGAGAAUGACUACUAAUCUGGAAGGAAGGGCUUACUGUAGCAGGCAGAUCACCAGAGUAGUGCCGAACACUUCCUGGCUUCAUCUGAAAAUUUGAGUCAUGGAAAAUGGAAGAUUUGCAAAAUACAAAUAUUUUACCCACGUCAUGAUCAAUAAGACAGAUAUGCUAAUGAUAACCAGACGUGGUGUAUUGUUUGUAACAAAGGGAACAUUUGGACAGCUCACGUGUGAGUGGCAGUAUAGCUUUGAUGAGUUCACCAAAGAGCCAUUCAUUGUUCACGGGAGAAGACUGCGCAUUGAAGCAAAGGAACGAGUGAAGUCUGUAUUUCAUGCCAGAGAGUUUGGAAAAAUAAUUAACUUCAAGACCCCAGAGGAUGCCAGGUGGAUCCUUACAAAGCUCGAAGAAGCAAGAGAACCUUCUCCGAGCCUCUGACAGAGAACACUGCCUGAAGACACACAGCAAUAAGGAAUUACAGCCCCUAGACUGUACCUUUCAAAACCUGUUUGGGAAGCAUAUUACAGAAAUAAUUUCAAGUACCCUGUAUUCUGGAUGCUAAAAAAAAAAACAAAAAACAGAAUCAAGUAAAACAGCUAUGUGAUUAAAAUAUUUCAAUUCUUCAGCAAUUACCUGGUUUUCUAACUUGAAUCAUGCAUCUAUUUAUAAUUAUAAUUAUUUUGUAAAAGAAGAAACAAUUAUGAAUCUUAAAUAUUUGCUCCAAGUUUUUCUCUGUAAUGGUGGAGAGGCUGCCUGUAAUUCAUCUCCACGUGGAGCCAAGUUUAAUGUUUCUAGUUCACAUUUUGAACUUCCAUCAUACUUAUUUCAAACUCCCUGAGUGAUGGGUAAACAAUCAAAUCAAACAUUGCCUCAGUGGUAUCAAGAGAACUUUGGUGGUGGUUUCUUCAGAAUCAUGAAGUUCUUUUUAUAGACAAAUAUUUUGAUAUUAUUUUCCUUAUUUUUAAUAUAAAGGAUAGGUUUGAAUUAUACUUAAAAUGCAUAGCAUGAUUAUUAAAAACAAUCUUUCAAAAUACAAUUUAUAACAUAGAUUGAAGCCUCCCCUUAAGAAAACUUAAAUGAGUAUGCUACUCAAAAAAGGAAGUCUCUGAGAACUUUAGGGACUUUGAAAUAUUUCCUCAAGCAUAUUUCAUGAGAUCUACUUGGUUUAUCCAAAUCAUGUUUUUAAUAGACUGCUAAUAUCAAAGGAGAAUAUCUAAAGCCUUAACAAUGCCUACUUUCCAUUCACUGUUAACAUGGAAUAUACAAAAUUCCCAACAUCUUAGAUACAGUGAAUUAUGCUUCCAACAGACAGUCCUUCUCAUAAGUAAGUGUAUGUACCCUGAAAUCUAGCCCAAUAAGCUGUCCUGUUGCCAACAGAUUGAGAAUUUCUGGUUUGCUUUCUCUACAGUUAUUCAAAUGAGAGUCACUCUUCUAAAUUUAGAGCUCAUCACAGAAAUCAUCAGCUAUACAUUAGUAAAAAUAAGGACAUGAGGUUUUCUUUCUUGGUUUUUGUCCAAGAUCUUUGCACCUUAAUAUUAAUGGACUGUUUCAGGUAAAAGGGAAUGAAUGUAUGAUUGUGAACUAUGAAGAGAAUGAUGCAGGAUCCUAUUUAGAUACUGAAUAAUACAGAGUAUUCAAUGCAUGUUGUAUGUGCCACCAAGUUAUUAUAAACUGUUUUUGGAAUUGAAGACUCUGUAUAGUCAAUGGUUGUGAAAUUCUUCUCAGGCUCCUAAAACCCUUGCUUUGUUGUAAAAGCUAAAAUAAACAGCAUGCUAUAUUGUAAUUGUUAUUUCUUGCUGACCAAAUCUACUUAAUGCUUCUGAUUUCUCUCUGAUGACUAAAACACAUUGUUUAUUCUCAGUAGUUUCUCCCAAAAUGCUUUUUGCUCUGCUGAACUUAAAUUGAAUCAAACCACACGUUUCAAACCACAUGAAAGUGUGUUUCCAUGUUGACCUUUUUAUAAAAAAAAGAAAAAAAAGUGCAUAUUUUCUCUGUUGCUAAGCUCCUCCAGUUUUGCUUUUGUCAGAAUUAAACCUAAGAGUGGAGAUAGUCAGAGAGCUUGCAUCAGAUUGUCCUCAUCCAAAACAAAAUACUUCAUUACCCAUUCCAAUGUUAUGAUUUCACCAGUCUCAGAAAAAUUACAGCCCCCUGCCUCCCUGGGUGUAGUGUCGUGAAGCAGAAAAGCCUUACAUAAAUAGUAAACGUAGAAAUUCCAGAAAUUCUUCUGGUGUCCUCUGGCAGCCAGCAGGAGUGGGUCUUGUAACUAGUCCACAUAGAAAGGAUAGUGCCUUUCUUGUUCCCUUGCCAUAAGAAUCAUGAAAUAUCUCUUCUUUCCCUGCCACUGGUUUACACAUCACCUCCUCCCGUGGCUUCCUUGUCUCUAGAGGGACCCACACUUUCAAGAGCUACAUCGUAUCAUUUGUUUUAGAAGAUUGUUUUCAUCUAAACAAAAACACUAAGAACAUCAGUAGAUCACUAGAUAACGAGUCAGUGUUUUUAGCAUCACAUUUUACAGUUUAGUUUUUGUUUGAUUGACUCUAUAGCCCAUUUUUCUUGAAGGUUAGAAUAUACAAUCGUCUUGUAUUUGAAAACCAUCUGCCCUAAAUUACAUUUAACUACAAUAAAUGGCUCUCUGCUGGAGAAAUUUAAGCUUGUCUAAGUUGUUUGGUGGUGGCUAUGGAAUGAGGUGUUCAGUCUUGUGCCCCUUCCAUGUAUUUUUUGCUAACUCUAUUACUAGGCCCUUAAUUCCAGCAUAGCAUGUCUUCUGGUCUAUGAUAAUUAUGCGAGGACCAAGACAGAGUUCCCUGCCAACUCUCCACCAGAAAAUCAUAAGUCAUUGGAAAGAGCGACUUUGAUUUCUUCACAUUUAGAAAAUACUCUCUGAGCCAAAAGGCACAUACACUUCUCCAGUGUCUUCCCUUUUAGAGUGUAUAUAUUUGCUGCUUUUCCUCUACUGUUUGCAAAAAUCCCCAAGGUCAGUUUAGUGUGGCUGAGUUGUUAUCUGGACUGUAAAUAAUCAUUAACACCUGUAGGCAGUUCUUACCUACCCCUCUCCUCCACAAUCCUAAUCCAUUUGGAGGCAACUAUCCUGUGGCCUCCAAAUGAAUCAGUCUUUCUUAGACUUACAUGAUCUUUUCUAUAAUAAUUCUUUCUCUCAUUUCUUCUGAUGGUAAUAGCAGUAAUAUUGUUCCAGUGAAUAUCUAUGCACCUAGCUCAUCUCAUAGAAACAUCCCACAUAGUAGCAUCGUAUUACUGUCUAGUAAAAAGUAAGAUUAAAUUAAAAGGACUCUACACAGUGCUGAAUUUCCUGCACCUAAAUUAUCCAGUUAUCACUUGCCAGUAUUCUUUGAUCCCUCAGGCUAUGUCAAGUACCCCUUCACGUAGGCCCCUGUAUUAAAAAGAUUGGGACAAUAUACUUGAUUAGUUUGCCUGUAGAAGCUGAAAGUAUGUACCAAAUACAUUGACAGUGGAUGCUUUGGUGGCUCAGCCAACACAGAUCAGAGAAAUCUUUUCGGGUUCCAGGGCUAUUGCUUGUUACCUUUUGUCAGGAUCAACCCAAAUCCUCAGGGAUGCUGUUUUUCCACACUAAGUCCUAACUCAUUAGUGGGUCAUGAAAUCAACUCAACAGCUCAAGACCAGUAUAUUUUAAAAGUGAAAUAAAAAAUAGAGGAACAAUAGAGCAUGUAAAAUGGUUAAGUAUUGGUUCCUGUUUCAGCGAAAUCUUCUAUCUACUGUGUAUACGGGGUCACAAGAUAAAGUGUUUCCUAUUAUGAAAUGCAAUUGAAAAAAAGAAAGCUUGACAGACUCUGCAGGAGGCAUGGGCCAUCCAGUGACUGUUGGAAGAGUCUGGAUUGUGUGGAGCCUGACCUUAGAUAAGGAGCAGCAGAUCCACAGCUCAGGAAGUCUAGAGAGGCUCAGCACUUUCUCUUUUGAGUGAGAAGAUGGAAUCACUCUUGUUUGGUUUCUGAAACAUUUUUCUUCUCUGCUGUGUAUCAGGCACCUCAUAUGAUCCAGUGGAACCAGAAAAAGCAUAGAAAAAUCAGAUCCACAAACAGCACCCACAAAAGGCCACAGCAGUCUUUUGUUUACCUAGAUGUACUUUAACCUCUUUACCACUAAGCAUUUUACUAUCAUAGAAUUGGGGACAGACAUUGUCCUUCGGAGUCCGUUGAAUUUGCACCAUCUUCCUUUUGGCUGAUUGACCAUACAGGUGGCAAAGGCCUUUAAAAAUGGGGAGCUAAUAUGUAGGGCACAUUCUGGUAGGGCCAAAAUAUUCACUAUGCAAAUAUCAAUGCCUUUUUACUAAAAACAGUGGAUUUCCUCAUUGCUUUAAGAUCCAAGGAGAAAAGGUAAAUAACUCACAUUCCAUAUGCAGGACUCAAUACAGACUUAGUCAAUCUGAUUUUCUUUGGUGCUAUUCAGUAUAGCGCAACUCUAAAAGGAACCCCAUUCACUCUCCUGCUUAGUCCUUUGAAAUAUACUUUUGAAGUUAUCCCUUAUCAUUAAUGGCAAUCUAAUGAAGCUAGGAUUCGUCGGUUAAAAUUGCGAUUCUUGUAAUCUGUACUGUCCAUUUUUGGCCACUCCGACUGUUAGAGCAAACUUUUCUCCACUGUCACAAUUGGUCUAAAGUAGUAUUUGUUUCAGGACUAUCCAAAAAGCAAAGCCGGCACAUUGAGAAGAUACAGAAUCCUACUCUAUUACACACCUUAUUCGUGUUUCUUUGAUUGAAACCUUUUUCUACUUUAUAUUUCCUCUUUUGUAAAGUAAAUUUUUCCAUGUCGUUUAAAAAAUUUUUUACUUUAGAAUUACAGAUGAGUUCUUUUUUUAAAGCAUUAUGGCAUUUAAAAAAAAAAAUUUUGGUUACCCAAAAAGCUCUACAAGAAAUAUAACUUCAAUUUUUUUAGGCUGAUAUGGGUAUAUUUUUAAAGUUUUUAUUACUUUAUACAAAUACAAAUUAUAGUUUAACACCUGCUAUGAUGAUAGAUAUCACACUGUUAUGAUAGAAAAUCCCUGUCAGUCAUUGAACUAUUCAUUUAGUGUUACUCUGAUACCUCAAUAAUGUGCUCCUUCUAAUGAAGUCCUUGUAACAAGAAACCCUGUGAGAUUGGUAUAAUGAGAUAUCUAAUAAUUAGAAGUAUAAUUAAAGUAGAACAUGUUGGAAAAUCCCAACAUUUCCUGUUAUGCCAUUGUACCUCCGGUGUUCAGUCCAUUACUCAAAAGUUCCCAAUUCUCGGGCUGAAAAACAUUCAAGUAAAAAUGUAGCAUAGAUUAUACCGAAAUAUUUUCAAUAUCGAUGAUUUAAUAGCCACACUCACAAACUAUUAGGAAUGGUAUCUGGGACUUGUUACAAGGUCAGAUAGAUUGUUAUAGACUUUUAAAAAUAAUUAUCUCUGUAUAUGACUGUGUAUUACAUAUAAAAAUGAAUUUUUCAGGAAAGGUGCACUUUAAAAAUAUUCUCUUGCUAGUUUUAUUAAUUGAUCAAAUAGCCUUUGCUGCUUUGGAGUGUUUAUUCUUUGAUGAAAAUAUGGUCAUUGAUUAUGAUAGUUUUAAAAAUAUCUAUUUCUGCAUCGCUGCAGGAUUUCCUACACUUUUCUGUUCCUCAUUCCUCUUUUAUGUGUGCUUGGCUCAGUUGCCUGUUACACAGUCUCUGCCUUGGUUUUGUGUAUUCUAAGAUAAUUUAUAAACACAGAUGUUUACAGUGAAGUUCUUCCUUUUGAAACUAAUCUUAUUCUUUUAUUCCUCUCUCUAAAAAUUGGUUGGCCACGCUCACUAAUGACUUUCUUGACAAUAAUUAUUUCUUGGUAUUGGUAGAUUUGGAUUGCAUGGUAAGAUGACUGUCCAUUUUCACCAUGUAUACCUUUGUCAAAUAAAGAUUUCUGAUCUUU